UGGCUCUCGCAUCGAUGAAGAACGCAGCGAAAUGCGAUAAGUAAUGUGAAUUGCAGAAUUCAGUGAAUCAUCGAAUCUUUGAACGCACCUUGCGCUCCUUGGUAUUCCGAGGAGCAUGCCUGUUUGAGUGUCUUGAAGUCAUCAACCCCUCCCGUUUCGCGCGGUGAGGUGCGUUGGAGCUGGGGGCUUUGCGGCCGUGAGGUUCGCUCCCCUCAAAUGCUUCGGUUGGGCCUGCGGGUCGAACUCGGUUUGGGCGUUGUACCAUCCUCGCUCCUGUCCGAGACGUUCCUGCCUAUGUGAGCCCUCCCACGACCGCCUGUAGGGCUGCGGUCGCUUCUUUUGAAAUCUGACCUCAAAUCAGGUAGGACUACCCGCUGA
rnacentral:misc_RNA from 1 species